rnacentral:rRNA from 1 species
AUUGAACGCUGGCGGCAUGCUUUACACAUGCAAGUCGAACGAGUGGCGAACGGGUGAGUAAUAUAUCGGAACGUACCGAGUAAUGGGGGAUAACCAAUCGAAAGAUUGGCUAAUACCGCAUAUUAUUCGAGCGGCCGAUAACUGAUUAGCUAGUUGGUGGGGUAAAGCCCUACCAAGGCGACGGUAAGUAGCGGGUUGGAGAGGACGAACCGCCACACUGGGACUGAGACCAGGCCCAUGCUCCGACGGGAGGCAGCAGUGGGUAAUUUUGGGCAAUGGUGGCAACCCUGAUGCAGCCAUGCCGCGUGUAUGAAGAAGGCCUUCGGGUUGUAAAGUACUUUGGUUAGGGAAGCGGUACCUGAAGAAUAAGCACCGGCUAACUACGUGCCAGCAGCCGCGGUAAUAC